CGAUUUUUCAAUUUGAAACUUGGAAGCCGUUUUGAAUUAAAAGUUGCCAUUUUUCAUCUUGUUUUGAUGCCAUUUUAUGAUAUAUUGAUUGAGAUCUAUAAAUAGGUGAUGAAUGAUCAAUACAAACACAUUAGAGACAUUGAAAAACAUCUUGAGAUCCACAUAUCAUUUCACAUUGAAUCAAACUAUUGAUUUAUAUGAAUAUUCAAUAUCUUUGUAUUCUUAAAAUUUUGGAAGAUUGCAUUUGUGUUUUAGUGUUAAAUCCUUUACAAGACUUGAUACAAUCCUGCAAACUGUUUGCCAAAACCCUUAAGAAUCCCAUUCAAUCUCGAGAGGGGGCAAAUAUAAUUCGAGGACAGCGAUUACGCGUUAGAGCCUUCAUAUUCGUUAUGUUCUUCAUCUUUUUUAUCAUAUUUCUGGUGAUAUAAUCUUACAAACCGUUUGCCAAAACCCUUAAGCAUCCCAUUCAAUCCCUAGAGAGGGCAAAUAUAGUUUGAGGACAACGAUUACGCGUUUGAGCCUUCAUAUUCGUUAUGUUCUUCAUCUUUUUUAUCACAUUUUUGAUUGUUUGUUUCUUCUCCAUUUUCCCCAAUUGAUGUAAAUUUUCCAACAUAAUUUAUCAAUAUUUGGCAUCAUUCUGUGUACCGACUCAGCUGUUGUGGGUGACUGUGUGUUUGAAUUAGUAAUUGUAUUAGGCAUUUAAGCAUAAACAUGGGAGAUUUAAUAAACUAUGAGUAGUGCAACCUUUUUCAAUAAUCUUAAAGCUGCGCAUUAUACUUGUAUAUUCCCUUAUAAUAUUCCCUCAUGUAUUAUAAUUAAAAAUGCUUAGUGUCAUCAUUUUAGGUUCGUUGACUCGUAAGAGUUUCAUUGCAGGCUCAUAGUGCCAAUCCCAGUUGAUUUCUUUUAUAUUUUUAGAACAGAUUUGGAUUCAUUUUUCAGAUACGCUUUAAUUUUUUUAAAGAUAAUAGAUGCUAGGACAGACCAACUAGUAAAGACCAAAAGGCAAGACCAAGAGAAGGUCAAGUCCAUGCCGAGCAAAACGUGACCGAUCGUACCAGUAUCAAAUAGAGGCCAGCGCAACAGCAAGACAGUGAGAUUGGGCAGAGACAUAUUUAGCCCCAUACUUCACUAAUUAAUGUUAAGAAGACCACUACUUAAUGUUAAGAAGACAUACAUUAAUUGUCCUUAUGGAACCUCAGAAAUACAAAAUUGUUAAGGUACUCAAGAUGAAUUAAUCUGUGCUUUCAUUUGUUAGGAUUCCUGGAUGCAGUUAGAAAAUUAUCUGAGUAGAUGAUAUCGUGUAUUACUUAUGUUCUUUUUCAUGUGUUCAUGUAUGAAUUAGAUUUAUUGCAGACUGGCAAUUAGGUUGUCAAAUGUAUAUUGGCAAUGCCACUAUCUAAGCCCUCCAAUGCAUUUUCCUUUUGUUCUCUUUCUCUUGUUAUACAUAGAGGCAACUAUACCAAUCUUUUCACCUUAUAAGAAAUGGGCCAUAAAACUUUCUACAGUACUGCUUUCUUUUGCUAGAUCUUCUAUUUUGCACCAUUAACCAAAAGGCCUACCUGAUUAUAAGUUCCUGGAUCUCUUAGUUGCAAUUUCUAGGAUAAAUCUUGCCCUAACUUGCUUAUUUAGUUAAGUGGGGCUUUUGGGCGGCAUUCAAAAAUGACAAAAGAAUAGCUGCAUCCCUUCUUUGUUUACAUUUUCAUGACUGUUUUGUGAAUGUAAUUCUCUACUCACUCUAUACAUAUAGCCUUCUUGUCUAAUUUUUAACGAGUCAACAUUGUUUCUGAAAUUUUUUUGGAUGGCACUUAGACAUUUUACUCCUCCAAAUUGCAUAUAGUUGGACUAUAUAUGCUUCAGUAUCAUACAAGUUAUCAGUUUUUAAGGAGAAUCAAUAUUCAAAAGAUGUGAUUUUGUUUUUGAUGAAGAGAAUUAGGAAGGGAAAAAAAAUUUAGACUCGGUAAGGAGUGAAGCAGAUUUAAUGACUUUCAAGAAAUUGGGUUACUAUUGAGAAAAUGGAGAUACAAUCAAUGCCUCUUUGUAGUCCUUCAGUAAGUUCUGCCUUAUAUUUGACAAUAAUCAUUAUGUUUCCUCUCCUUUUGUAGCUCUAAAACUACGCAACCUGAAACCAAACCUUAGAUGAAGAUUUUUAAAUCGUGUUAUACUAUGUAGCUAUAGAUUGUGCACUACUCUGCCUGGUAAAUUUUAAGGUUAAUGUGCAAUGCAUAUGCUUGGCCUAGGGACGUGAUGGCUCUGUUCUUCUUGAUGAUACUCAAGAUUUCAAGGGGGAGAAGAAUGCUUUACCCAACCGCCAUUCAGUUUGAGGAUUUGAAGUUAUUGACAGUAUAAAGGCAGACGUAGAAAGAUCCUUGACAGACUGACUCUUGCAGCUAGAGAAGCUGUUGUUUUGUCAGGAGGGCCUUAUUGGCCCGUUGCUUUAGGUAGGCUAGAUGGAUUAACUGCAAGCCAGAGAGCAGCAAAUGAAUAGAUGGCAUCACCUUUCGAGCCUCUAGAGAAUAUUGGAUGCUGUAGUUCUUUCAGAGCACUUGUUCUAAUGCUGAUGCAUCAAACAGAAAGCUUGAUCUUCUCAACUCGCAGAGCAUCUACAGGUUUGAUAAUAUGUACUAUAAGAACCUGCUGAACAACACAGGCCUUCUUGAAUCAGAUCAAGCUUUAAUUGGAGAUCCAAAGGCCGCUGCAAUUUUCAAGGACUAUAGUAUGGAUCCAUUUCUCUAUUCAAAAGAUUUUGCAGCAUUAGUGGUAAAGCUUGGAAAUGCUGGUGUGCUCACCGGAAAAUCUGGGGAGGUUCAAAAAAAUGUUGCUUCGUAAACUAGUUUGUAAGAAAUGCUUUUCAUUUACCACCACAAAAUAACUGUUGCCGUGUGAUACAGUAGGCUAGACAUUACUCGACAAUGUUAGUAAAGAAAAAAGCUAAAAUCUUAUUCCUUGUCUUAUAUAUAUGUCCAUAUUAAUGUACCAAACAUGUCAUCAUUGUGUUAAUGAUGAAGGGGACAUAGAUGGUCUUUACUAAGCUUUUGCAAAUGGUGGAUGCAUGAAAAAUAUUAUCAUUUUGAAUGAUUGGAUACAAA